UUUCCUGCUCGGCAGCGGGCGGCGCGGGUGCGGCGGCGGGCGGCGGCGCCCGGACCCCGCGGUCUCCGCGCGUCCCCACGACCCUCCUGCGCGCCCGGCGGGGACGGCGGGGCGCCCCGGAGGGCGGCGGGCGGGCGCACGGGAGAUGCGGAGCCGCCGCGGCGGCGGGAUCGGCGCGACCGGACCGGCCCCCCCGAGACUAUAGCCUUCGUUUUCCCUUGGAAAGUUUCAACAUUCUUCCAAGAAGUACCUCCUAAAAGCGUCCACUAAGUAAUUGUUUGUCAUAUAGCAAAGGCAUGGAUGUUGAGCUGUCAGAGUUUCCAUUUAGAGGAAACAGGAACAUAGCUCUCCUAUAUAAACGCGUGUCUCAUCUCUGAGCUCCCAGCAGACCCAGUUCAGAGCUGGAAUUGUUCUUCUUGAAAUCCUGUUCCUGCUGACAGGAAAACAUGGAUUCUCGCAGGCCAGGAUGGUUCCCCAGCAUCGUCCCCGUAGGACAAGAGAGAACGUUCUCAGACCCAUUGGGCCACAGAGUCAGGAAGGAGUCCUGCUACCACAGGGAAGGGUCACGGACCAGCCUCCACUGGAUAUGGCACCUCGCCCCCAGCUGCAGUCCCAUCCACGGGGGACGUCCCUUUGUGAAUCGGGACAUUCAGCCAGCAGGAGACUCGGUGCUUUCUGUUUCAAAAUUGCCAAUCGGGAGUGACUUUUUAAAGACUGCUUAUUGCGAUGCAGAGUUUGCUAUAAACUAUUUAAAAUGUUGGGAAAGGAAAGGUCCCUGUGGAAUUGCUGAACAAAAAUGUGUCACAUAAUGGUUUCUCUGAGUAGCUUCUCUCCUUUUUUUGAAUCGAAAUGAACAUAAUCUAAAACCAGAACUUGGAUUCCUGUUAUUUCAUGAUGGGGACUGAUGGAAUUCUAACAACCUUUAAAAAAUAUGUUGACGGUAUUCAACUGAUUUCAGACAACUCUCCCAAGAUUGAUCUGCUCUCAGAAAUGGUACAGAUUUUGUGUUCAGGUCUUACCUAUAUGUAAAUAUGUUUAAAGCUGCCGUGUUGCUGCUGAGAAGUUAAUUCUUUUUAAAAACGUCACGUUGCUGGAAAUUAUGAUCUGCAAAAGCAGGACUUGAUCUAUUUCCUGUUUGGCCGGAUAACGUCGUAAAUGCCUUAUGCUGAAAACCUAAAUGGCAUUGCUGGUAACUCACGUGCGUUCAUCGUCCUCUUUGGGCCUCAUUGACACCUGGGCGCAGUCUAGGUGUGCGUUCUCACCUCCGCCAUAAAGAUGGGGAGACAGAGACUUGGGCAGGCAUGGAGGGGUGAGAGUACAGUGGGAAGGGGCUCACAGGUCCCCGUGUUCCCUGCACUGAGCCCAGGUUCCUCUCAAACCUCAAAACCAGUCAGGUCUCAUGACCACCUCCAAAGGUAAGGUGCAGACCUGCCGAAAAAAGAAAAAAAAAAACCACCCAACAACGCAUUUUCCAUUACGGAAAAUGUGAUUUUUCUGUUAUGAAAGUAGCAGAGCUCAUUACUAACUAAGAACAUAUCCUGUGGAUUCUGCAAACAGUUUUCUGGUAAAUAAUUAUAUUUGGGAACACUUUCAUGAUCGCCUAAGUCGAUCUUGGCCAGGGUUCCAAACUAUUUCCUCGUGUUAUCUGCUGACCGAAUCCAGUUUUCUAAUCUCUUCCCACACGCUUGCCAGGCUUCCUUUCGGCGUGGCCAGGAGUCUGUCCAUUCACUCGCCCAGCGUUUAUCAGGUGUCUCCUGCAGGCUUCUGACUGUGCCACCAGGUCUUGAAAAAUGCAGCAGGAGAUCCUAUAGUUCUGAUAUCAGGAAAUAUUGCCUGCGGGGUGGAUAUUGGAGCCCUUUCUUUAGCAGUUCUGACUGUGUGUUCUGUGCAGUAGCCUAGAAAAGGAUUGGUCAGAAAUCAAGUUUAGUUGUAGAAAGCUGAAUGACUUGGACGCGUCCCUUCACGCCCUGAGUCACACCUUCUUUGUUUAAAACAUAAAGAGCCCUGUGAGGACUUUUUAAAGGUCCCUUCAUGACAUAAAGUUCUGUGAUCGAGGGCAAUGCUUCUCUGGAUUUUGAGUUAACAGCAGAAAUGCCCCUCAAGUAACCACUGCUGCAUAUCCUCCGUGUUUGGGGGCUGUCACCUUCAUUGCCUUCCCGUCUGAGAUGAAAUUUGUCCAUUGUGAUGUAAAGGUUUUAUGAUCUUUGCUCUGGAAAGGAAGCCGCUGUGUGGGUGCUUGCUCGUCCCUUCUCUCUCUUAUUUGUAUGUGCUCUCCUGCUGCCCCCCCAAAGAAGCAAGAACCUGUAAAAGAGGGUUUUAUUCCUGGAAAACAAUAUUGGAAAAGCAAUCUUCUUCUUUCUGUGAUGGUGCUUACGUAUAUGCGGGAAGUAAAAGCUGGGAAUCCGUGGGUUUUGAUUUUAAAACUUAAGCAGAUACAUUAGUUAACAAAACAAAGGUCCUUUCUCCACUGUUUUGCAAUCCAUCCUGGCAAAGGGUUCUGGGAGCCUGCUAUGGUGUAUUUUACCUGAAGAACUGAUGGACGGGGAAGGUGAAUUGCUUCAUCUCAUCAGAUACCAUGGAAACCCCAGUACCACUCUGCUCCCCUCUUGUGAGAGUCCUCCAAAAACAAUCCCAGCUGCAAAGUGUGUGUUGCUGAGAUGAAGUUGGAGAUCCCGAAAGCACACAACGUGAGCGUGAUCAGGUUCAGAGGCAUCACUCUUUCCAGGAUCUAUUUUUGGCUUCCUUCCAAUGUGAAGCCAACCCGACGUUCUGUUUCCCGCUGUGGGUGGAUUUAUUUAAUUUUUCAUGAGUGAUUCACUACCCAUGGCUGUAUGUUUUCCUCCUGUGCAGCUGAGGAUUAAGUCAUGUUUCCUUUUAAAAAUUAUUUUUGAUAGAAUCUGAGCCAUGUGGCACUCAGAGGGUUUGAGACUAAGGGACACAGUAGUAUCACUAAGACAAGGCGCUUAGCUUCCCCGGGCUCUUACAAAAUGGCAGUGAUGGUGUCACCCUGUGACUGGGAUGUUCUCCCCCAGAGGGGACUGCGUCUUAUCAAACAGCCAAAAACAUCUCUCUCUAUAAAAAUGUUUUUGUAAGUUGUGUGAUUUUUUUAAACAUUUUUUUCACUUUGCAACAAAUCCAUUCCACUUGGAACGCCACAUGGUAGGUAGGAUUCCCUAACAGAAAGCCUAGUAACAGAAUCAGUUUCCAUGCAGGUCCACGCUUUUCCCCCCGAGUGGCCUCUGUCUGCCUGGCUGGGUUCUAGUAACCCCCCUGUGUCCAUCACCUUAAGUGACAGUAGCUCUGGACCGCAGAGCUGUUCUGCUCCCGUCUCAGGCUCAGUCCUUGCCAGACUGUUUCUACUCAGCGGCAUCUCAGCCCUGCUCCUUGAGAUGCAUGAGGAGUGAAGAUCAUCUGUCUUUACCAUGAGGCACUCCCUCCUGGCCCGAGCACAGACCAGGGAUCCUCCAGAGAAGCAGUCCAGGCGCCUGCCCUGCGCCCAGGGCUUCCAGCGUCAGAUCUCCACAGUGCUGCCUGACCAGAUGGGUGAGCACCAGAAUGGCAAAUGCAGGGACCAGAAAGGUCCGGAGGCAGCAGGAGACGGUACAAGUCAGAGAAGAAUAACAAAGGAAGAUGAGGAUGCGGCGGGAGGGCAGGUGGGCAGCUCUGUGGAGUCAGUCCAACCAAACAGCAUGACCAGAAAAGGAGCAGAGGAGGGGCCGGCCUAGGGGUCAGAGGCUCGCCGUCUCUCCCGACUGGCUGAGUGGCUUUAAUCAAGUCGCCCACCUCCUAAGAGCACUGUCUCCUUAAUCGCCCACCUCUGGAAGGCUCCGGCAUUCUUUCCAUCCAAGAUGGGACCCCAGGAGAUAGCAAAAUUCUACUACAACAUUAAUAGCACAAAAAGUCAUCUGUGUUCUGGGUGAGGACACUGGAAAGUGCAAGAGGCCAUGGCUGGGGGGUUGCUUUUCUUUAGGGACGAUCUGCCUUUAACCAACAUCCUAGGUUCAGGCUCAGGGCUUCCCCGAGCUGUUUCCCUGCAAAAGAGACACCCCUUCCUCAGGGUGGCUGCUCCCGGGCCUGGUAAAGCUCAGGAAAACCAGCUUCGCUGAGAGCCAAACUGCAGGCCUGGAGCAGGAACCUCCGAGGCUCCAUCCGUGUGUAGGUGCACCACUGUCAGACCUUCAGCUACCACACCAGACAUCCAGGUACCGCGCCCGAAAUCCACACAGCAUGUCGGAAAUCCAAAUACUGUGCGGGAAACCCAAGGACCUGGUCAGAAAAUCGAGAACUGUAUCUGGGCCUUUGUAAUGAUGGUACAAAUGGGAGUCUUCAUUUUCACCAGACCAUGGUGAGCCCUUUCUGAGAUUCAUUUUAGAGAUUAAAAAAUUUAACUUUUAUUUCAGCUGGGCUGUAACACUCCUUAUAAAAAAAACUGUGUCUGUUGUAUAUAUCACAGUGUCCCUGGCGAAUCUGAAAAAAGUGUUGAAAUCGAC